CUUUCAUGAUGAGCGUAUUUUUUUCAGUUCUGCUACUGAACAAUAGUGAAGAAACUUCAUACCAUCUUACCAAUCUCUGAUAC
rnacentral:snoRNA from 1 species